rnacentral:rRNA from 1 species
GACGAACGCUGGCGGCGUGCUUAACACAUGCAAGUCGAACGAAGUGGCAAACGGGUGAGUAACGCGUAAUCAACCUGCCCUUCAGAGGGGGACAACAGUUGGAAACGACUGCUAAUACCGCAUACUUACGGAGGGGAUUGCGGCUGAUGAGCUAGUUGGAGGGGUAACGGCCCCCCAAGGCGAUGAUCAGUAGCCGGUUCGAGAGGAUGAACGGCCACAGUGGGACUGAGACACGGCCCAUACUCCUACGGGAGGCAGCAGUGGGGAAUCUUCCGCAAUGGACGAAAGUCUGACGGAGCAACGCCGCGUGAGUGAUGACGGCCUUCGGGUUGUAAAGCUCUGUUAAUCGGGACGCGGUACCGGAAUAGAAAGCCACGGCUAACUACGUGCCAGCAGCCGCGGUAAUUC